UUUUGUUCUUAAGUAUUACAAAUCAAUAUUGUGUACUGCUCAGUGAUAUAAAAUUUUCAGUCAUUGUAAAUUUGCAUAAGUUAGGAUGAGAAUGGCCUCCAAGCCAAAGAACAAGAAGAUGGAUGAUAGAAAUGCAAGAAGAGUGAAGUGGACAAGAAAGGGAUGAAGAGGCUGGGCCAUUGGGUCAUGUCAUUCAAAGCCCAUUCUGCAAACAGGAAGCAGAAGCUUCACAAGCAGAGAGUUGAACCUUGGAAUUCAGACUGAUGGCUUUGCUGAUGUUACGAUCUGUGUCCUGGGUUGAAGCGUAGCAGAAGACCGAGCUUACUUCUCUGCAGAAAAAAUGCAAUUUUCUCUACUUUUUCUCUGUCACUACAGUUAUGACCAAGCAUUUUCAUUGGUGUAUUCUCUUCCUCAUCUUGGGAUUAGAGAGAAAGAGAAAUUAAUUGCCCAAUAUCUACUAUUGCAAAUGGAAAAUUGAUAAAAUGUCAUUGAAGUUUA